rnacentral:ribozyme from 1 species
UCUUGUCGUUUUUUUUCGUUUUUUUCUUUUCAACGUUCGUUCGAACUCUUUUCCUUUUCUAAUUCUACACUUUUGAACCGAGAGGAGAUAAGGUUACAAGAGCUGUGAGAAAAACACAAUUGCAGUCACAAACCUUUUUUUGUCCCUUUUGUACACAUCAAAC